UUAAUUCCUCUACAACUCUAGAAUUCACACAAAAACCAACUCAUCUCCCCAUCAUCACAUAAUCCUCACCUCCCUCACGUAUCAUCCUGCAUCAACCCCACUUCUUCCCUCGAGCUACUGGACGGCCGACCACCACAUCUGUCCGGUGGCGGCGGCGGCAAUGGCACAUGGCGGCGCAGAGAGAGAUGGAGAAGACGCGGAGAGAGAGAGAGGGACGGCGGAGAUAGUCGACGGUGGCGUCGCCGGCAACAGAAGCCGACUCACGGCGGCAGUCGGUGUCGGCUGAAACGGUGGUCCAGUUCCGGUCUCGGGUUCGAGUUCCGGUCAGUUCCAGUCCAACCCAUAGGAACACGUCGGAGCCGCCAGCGAUCGGAGAACAAAUCGGAGAAUCCAGUCUUCGCCGGAAGACAUCGAAGUCCUCUGUUCGUCCGCUUCGUAACUAAGGUUUGAACUAUGUCGAUAGAUAAACCGUUCGUCCUCUUGGAUUUCUCCAAUCCUUACUCGUACAUCAUUUCAAGGAAUUCUUAUACGCAUCCAAUGUUGAUGAUGACGAUGCUAUGAAAUGAAGUAGCAAUGAUGCCUAGAUACACAUAUAGACGUUUAGGUUUAAUAUGUUGUAUCAAUUUUGUUAUGUUGUUAUGUUAUUUCGUUAAACUUGUCGUAUUUGAUUUUUUUGCAAUGUUGACAGUUUAUCUUAUGAAAUGAAAUCGGAUUAUU
rnacentral:lncRNA from 1 species